GGGUAUAUAACAAAUGCAAACGCAAUCCUAAUAGAUGUGGCAGUAAAAUGACCAAGGUCGGCGAACAUAGCUUCAGUGCCAGUUAUUGAAAGAAGGAUCCCUCCAAGAGAAAUCCAACCAUCUUUACCAGUCUGACCAAAGAACUUGAUAAUAUAAUAGGGAGAAAUAGCACGAACAAUCUUUGGGUUCCAGUAUAUAAUGUUAUACAACCCAAUGGAAAAUAUAGACACCAACCAGAUUAUCACAAUUGGAGCAAACAUAAAAGCUACUCUGCGAGUCCCACAAUGUUGAAGAGCAAACAAGCCAACCAAAAUGACACAUGCAAGCAAGAGGACUUCACCCUUUGUUAAUUUACUUUCAUAAACUUCUAGACCUGAUACCGAUGAUAAAACUGACAUCGCUGGCGUAAGCACACCAUCUCCUAUAACCAUGCAAGCACCAAAUAAUACAACAAUAAGCAGGGCAGUCCGUAGCAUUUUGUGCUUCUCCAGAAAUCUCUUCAGUGCAGAAGUGCUUGCAACCUGUGUUGUUGGACCAUACUUGUAGGCUGACAGCUCCUCAUCAGCUGCUUGUUGAUUGGGAAGUAAACUAAACUUUGCAUGCCUGCAAAGCAGUGAGUAGAGAGCAAACGUGCCACCUUCACCAUUAUCAUCUGCACUCAAUACGAUAAAGACAUACUUAAUCAAAGGUAUCAAUGUAAAGGUCCAGAAAAUCAAAGAAAAUGCGCCAAAUAUUGCUUCCUCAUUCUGAUGGUUCUGCAACUUCCCAAUAAAUGUGCUUGAAUAAACAUAGAGAGGUGAAGUACUCAGAUCUCCAUAUACUAUACCAAAGCUUUGGUAUGCUAAUAUUAGAUUCCUGGAGAGAUUAACCCAUGAAAGCUGAGACGGAUUAGAAGAACUGCGAAGUCCAGAUUCAGGCUCCAUUUUGGCAAAGCCAAGUUGGUGGUGGAGCUCCUUCUGUAUGUAUGUGUAUUUUAAGAGCUAAAC
rnacentral:misc_RNA from 1 species